CACCGCUCACCGGAGCAAACAUUGCGGACUGCGUACGAUAUGAUGUGCAGUGGUUUAUUAUGUAUGCUGAGUGCUACGCAAGUGACCUGAGACGGAAACUGAAGCCAUGAAGCAGGAGCUGCGAACGAGAAAACCGUCCACUGCAUUCCGGGAAUUCCGAGCUCCUGACGAUAAUGCUUUCCUGGUUCUCUUCUCCGUCAACCGAACGGCGAUAAACUUUGCCAAUGAAAAUUAGAGUGACAGUGAGAAGACUGGAUCUGUUGAAGAUGGGUCUAUUGCAACAUCAGCCAAAUACAAAUGUUAGGGACUGCCAGAAAUUGACCAAGCAAAGAGGCAGAUGGAUCAAGCAGUCUCCAUUUCAAAUCCUAAUCGGAAGGAAAGUAACCAGAGCCUGAUGAUGUGGACUUGUAUUUCCAACUGCUGGCAAGAAACGAAAAUAAACAAAUAAAAUUGAAAAUUAAAAAAAAAUGAUGAUGAAGAAGAGAGAGAGAGAGAGAGAGAGAGAGAGAGAGAG